GCAUCUCUCUUUACCUAAACUCGCUUCAAAACGAGAAAGGAAAAAACCAAAAAACUCAAAGCUCAAGACUCGAGCAAGUGACGAUUGCUCCAACCACUUGAUCCAGAUUUUAGCCGAGCACUCAUAUCACUGGUAUCAACAGAAUCAGGGAUCAAAACAAGUUCAGAGAGAGAGAGAGAGAACUGCCCAUACUCUUUAAGCCUCAAUUCUGUUUGUGCCAAAUAUCAUUCAGUAAUGGUAAAAGAAAGGCAUUCAUACAGCCCUAGAAAAUUAGAUUACCCAACCACGCACCCGUGAAUGCAUGCUUACACAAAACAUGACUUCAUUCUCGGCAUCAUAUGGAAGUAUCAGUUUUGGUUAAGCUCCCGUCAGUAUUAGAUAAAGCACGUACCAGCCUGCAGGCCACAUGGGAUUUUUUUCACAGAGGGUAUACAUUAUGUUCCACUACAGGUGUUCAUCAUUUUCAGAAAGCCUGUGGUGCAUGAUUGCAGC
rnacentral:lncRNA from 1 species